rnacentral:lncRNA from 1 species
ACCAUCCAUGGACUCUCCAAACCAAACGUGUUUCUUCUCAGCACUAGAAUCUGUCCACCAGUGUUUCCGUGGAACAUUCAAAGGAUUGGCACUUAUGCAUGUCUCUGCAGUUUCUAGCGGGGUUUUUACGAGAACCAUCAGGACUAAUGAGGCUUUCUAUUUGUCCAUUAACAGACUUGAGUGAAGUCAUAAUCUCAUCGGUGUUGAUUUUGAAAUCCAUUGGUUCAUCUCCAUAAUACGGGGCAAAACCGCCAGCUUUUUCACCUCCAAUCCCAGCAAUGGCAGCGGCUCCAACACCACCACAGCAAGGACCAGGGGCACCAGGAGAUCCUCUUUCACCUCUGUUACCUCGAGGCCCUGGUGGUCCAAUGGGACCUGGAUGUCCACUGGUUCCAUCUUUGCCAGGAGGUCCACUGGGUCCAACAGGUCCUGGACUGCCGAUUGCACCCUGCUGACCAGCAGGGCCCUGGAAAGAAAGGAAGUGUACAUAGGAGUGAAGGCCUUAAAAAGCACUGGGAAACUGUACAUUCAAGAUCAGAUCAAGAAACAUGGGGAUCAUGAUGAAAUUUUUUUUCUUUCUUUAAUCUUCCCAUUGUGUCAUGCUGAUUGUUGUUUCAAAUUAGCCUUCAAAUCCAUUUCUCAUCUCUUCUAGUACAUAUUUUUAGAGAUGGAAAGCUUUCUUCUCUUAAUCUCUAAAAUUUGUAUACAUUGAAGGGAUUUUCCAACAAAAUGAAUGCACU